AUAGCUGCUUGUGAGCCUCGCAUCCUGCUUCCCUAAACUGAAUUGACCUAUAGCGCUCCGCUGCAGAGACGUGGCCCUUGAAACAAUGCGAACCAGUAUAACAUCCUGAACUAAGUGAACAGAUUCCAGUGUAGGGACCCUCAACUCGAACGUUAUAUCUUCCUAGUAAUGAUCGCGUACGGUCUUUUGAUUGGGCAGCGUAUAAGACAAAGCAGGUGAGACAUUAUUCAAUUUUUGUGAGUUUUUAAUGUUAUCAAGCCAAUCUCAUUUGAAUGCUCGUUAUUAGGAAAUGAAUUAUCAUGUUUUAUUCUUCUUCUGUAUUUUCCUCUCCGUCUUGCACAGAUACUCUGAGGUAACUGCUCCUGUUAAUACAUGAGCUGUCUCUGUACCAUUUAUUUUAUUUAUCUUUGUCUAACAUUGUUUUUUCUUUUUCAUGUAGAAAGCAAUUUUUUCAUAUUGAAUGACAUAAUAACACGUACCCAAGUGCUAAGGUACGUAGGAGGUACAAAAUUCCCUUCCAAAUUUUAUUUUGUUCUUUUAUUUGCUUGCAGAAUUAAUCUAGAAAAUGGUCUCAGUUCCUCCCUCAUUCAAUGUUGUUGAGUUCACUAAGGAAAAAACUGUGUCUGUCGUCCCCAGAGAGUGGAUGUAUAAUGAGUCUUUAUGCCAUUGGCCGAAUGUGAAAACAGGGAUAACGCAACUGAUAAAGAAUCAUACAGAACCAUUUACGAAACCCUACUCGUGGAUAACAUGCGAGUGCCGUAUAUUGGCUGAAAAAAUUGGCUCGUAUGCUGAAGCUAAAAGAAAGGAGAAGGAGAGCGAAUAUUACAGCGACAUCCCAAGUGAUGGAACUGAUGAAGAUGGAAGUGAUGAAGGUGGAAGUGAUGAAAGUGGAAGUGAUGAAGAUGUCGAAAAUUCUGCGCCCAUUAACAGUGCAAAGAGGAAGAAAAGACCGAAACGGAAGGCAGAAGAAACCUUGUUUGUAAAUGUUGAAUCUUUGGACGAUGCAGAGCCAUUAAAUGUCAAAAAAAUCUCAAGAACAAAGAGACGUAAGCCAAAUGAUCAAAAAUUGAUUCUUACACAAAGUCAUGUUAAUCAGAAUGCGCAUACAGACAAUACUUCUUUACACUCCUCAGAAAUCACACCCACAUCACAAGUAUCAAAUCCAUUAGUCAAAAACACUUCUGAACAACCAAUAACUGGAGAAACUCCCGAACCGGUAGAAACUCUCAAUUCCAAUUCGAACAAAGAAACUAACCAGCAGACUGAUGACAGUACAACAGACAACAACGAAUCACAAUCAAAGAACCUCACUGAGGAAGAAUUCAAGAAUCUUUGGAAUACGAAGUCUGAAGAAGAAAAGCUACUCUUUGUUGGUGGAAGUCUAUACGAAUUAAGGAAGGACAUGAAGAGCCUUAAAGUUUUCAUUACGAAAAGUGGGAAAAGUGGAUAUGCUCCAGCUUCCCAAAAUACAGCUACUGAAAUAUCAGGGUCUGCUGUUAAAAGAGUAGAGAGAUUACUUCCGUUGAGAAGUGAGGGAGGAUGGAAACUUUUAGAGGAAAAAUUACUCAAUGACGAAGAAUUCCGGAUUGCGUUUAAAGCAGUCGCAUCUACUAAGAAAAGUAGUGACGUAGGGGAAACAGUCAGAAAGGUCACUGCACUCUUAUUUAGUGACACCUAUCUUAAAGACCAUACGAUGACGGGUCAGGGACAUGGACAAGGACAGAAAUUAAAAAUCAAAGGUGCUCCAAAAGGAAAUUUAAUUCUCAGUUUGGUCAGCUCAAUGUACAUUGACCCUAUCAGGAAAACUCCAACCAUUACGGAAGAGGAAGUGUACAAACCGCUAUCAGCGUACGUCCUGCAUGUAGGAGACAGAAUUAAAAAUAAAGCAAAAGCAGCAGCAAGAAAAGAAGCAGGCAGCGAAGCUUCCAAAUUUUUGUCUCUGUUUUGAUGGCUAUUCCUCAGUGUUUUGGAUAUUACAUUUCAAAGUGGAACUGCUACUUUUAUCUUUUCGUUUCAUAUUUAUUUACUCAUGCAUAUUUUCUAUCAUUGCGGGUGCUCAAUUCCAAAGUGUGAAGUUCACCGUGCUAAUUUUUUGUUUAAAUGUUUUUUCUUCAUAGAAUUUGUCCUUCUUUAGAUGUACUUGUUGGCAGAACUUGCCCAUUUCAGUUGUAAAACUGUAUUUUUAGUCUUAGAGUUAUAGGCUCAUUUAGGUUGUAUUUAGGGAAAGAGAACUUUAAGACAUCAGGUAUUGCUAAAGUUCAUCGGACGAUUUUCUUCCUGCUGAAAAGAGGUAGUGAAAAAUCUUCUGAAAAUCUAAUUUUAAGCUUCAGAGAAACUCCUCUGAAAGUUUCAAAAGGAUUGCACAAACUUGAUCUUAGAAAAAAAUAAAUUGCUCCAAAAAUUAAGCAAUACCUAGCUGUUGUGACAUGGUUCGCCUGUACUAAACCAUUUGCUAAUCUCUUUCUCACCAUCAUCACUGUUUUUAUUUUUUUGAUUUCUUCUUUUGUUAGAUGUAUUCUCUGACAGCAUUCACCUAUUUAAGUGAGAUUAACCCUUUGCACCCUGCCGGUACCCAUUGUUUCCACCAGUGUAAGUGAAAAAGUAAACUGAAACUCAUGGAGGCAUUAAAUGCCUUAUGAUUUCUGAUUGCAUGAAGGCACAUACAUACAAUACAGUAUAUAGAUAAAUGUACAUUAUCGCAGCCUGAGAACGAAGGUAUACAAUAGACAUAAAUAUGGGUAAAAGGAGGGGACGAGACUGAAAACACACAAUAAUAAAAUUCACGGGGAGUUUCGACCGGUUACCUGGUCAUUAUCAACCGUUGAAAAAUUACAAAAUAUAAAAAGCUAAAGCUUUAAACAAUUAUACUGGUCUCAUGUCAGGUCAUGGCAGCGACAAGCAUUAGGUCUUCUCGCUGCUCUGACCUGGCCAGGGAUCAGUAUAAUUGUUUCUAUAGCUUCAGUUUUUUAUGUUUUAAUUUUUCAAUGGUUGAUAAUGGUCAAAACGUCCUGUGAAUUUUAUUAUUGUGUGUUUUCAGCCUUGUCCCCGCUUUUUACCCACUUUAUGUCUAUUUUAUACCAUACAUUAUAGAGACACUAGUGGUUGUAAUUGUUUCGUGAUUUUAUAAUCCAAGAAAUCCCCGUGAGUCGGAUGACCUUGAAGAAAAAUCUCGACAAAUGUAUCUCUUGCCAUCAUAGCCUUCUUUUACCUCCAUCGUUUAGAUUUUCACGAUCCCUGCAAUGAAUGACAAAUUAGUCAGUUACUUUAGAAUUAUAUUUUCUCAAAAUUUUUCCCCAGAUGAUCGACCCCCCCCCCCCCCACACAAAAUUGCCGUUUCAGUGGAUACAUUUUAUUGAAAAAUCCAUUUUCUUCCAAAGAGCAUUUCUUUCCUCAGAAAUAUGAAUUUUUCAAGAAUCAGGUUACGAAGGGUUAAACUGAACUUUUAAGGCGUAGAGUAAGCUGCAGGGUUUUUCAUUUUCAAGUUUUUAUUUGUUUGAUUUCUUAGUUAUUGCAUAUAUGCUUUGAUAGAACUUGCCUACUCACGUUCCUAAACUAUAAUUUUAGGUUCAGAGAGAAAAGACUCAUUUUUUAGUUUUUACUAUUAGCUGUUCCAGAUAUUUAUUUCCCAACGAAAGGAAAAUGAACUUAACUUCUGAUAUUUGACUUCGGUUGAUCUGACUUCCUGUCACAGUGUGACUCAGUAUGCUGUGUAAAUUAUAAUGGUGCAUGUUUGUUACUAUACACUAUAAAAUGAGUCAUCAAGUAUUAUAACUUAAGUUACCUAGUUAGUUUAGUAACUUAAAACUCCUCCUUUUGGGUAAUGUAGUUUUCAUGUCAAACUUUAAUUUGUUUAAAUUUUCUAGCAUAAAUUUUUCUUUCUUAUUUUAAGAUAUUUUGACAUUUGCUCUGUUUUUGUCUUCAGCAAAUAAUUACUGAUAUCCAUUUGUUUUAAUUCCGGGCUUUGUAGCACAGUCUCACAUGACCUACUUAGUUGAAUGCAGAUCAAAGUCAUAUGUACAUCCAAAAAACCUAUGUGGGAAAGUAAGAGGCUUCUUACAUAUGUCCAAUGAGAACGCACUAGAAAUUGGUAAAAUAAAAAGCGGAAAAAGAACAGGAAGAAAAAGACGGAUAAAAUAAUAAGAGAAAGAAAUAGGAGAACUUCCUUUUUUCUUUUACGCUAUCCUCUUCUUUUUUAUUUGUCUCUCUGUCCUUAAUUUUUCCCUCUAAUUUCUCUUCUCUUUCGUCUUUUUCUUCCUCCUCUAUUGUCUCUUCCUUUUCUUCCUCUUAUUCUUGUCCCUUAAUCAUCAUUCCUCUUCUUUUAGCUCGUUAUUUCUAGUACACUCCAAUGUGACGUAUGUGAAGGGUACUGCACUGUAGGCAGUAUAAGUCUUUUUAAGGAAAAAACUCAAUGUACAAACACCCUAUUGCUCAACCGCAUCCAUUUCUCAUUUGGCUCAUUAGGAAUCAACACGCAACAUGUAGAUGCAAAUGUUUUGUGAUAUUACCUAGUGUGCCUUAUCUGUAGGUUCAAUUACUGUUUAUAUAUUCUCUAUUUUCUUAUUUAUUAUGUGUCAUUCCACUGUUGAGUAUUACUUAUGUUACUUCAAAUGAAAAUAGAUACCAGCAAUUUAAUUACCAAAGUGUAUCAUUCCAUUUUUUUUCUGGGUGCCCUCUUUCCACCAUUCAUUAUUUUAGACUAUCAUUAGGCCUUAAAGCUGUGAUGCCUUGAAUAUAUAUUCUUAAAAAUGU
rnacentral:lncRNA from 1 species